rnacentral:rRNA from 1 species
UACGGGGGGGGUAAGCGUUGUUCGGAAUUACUGGGCGUAAAGGGCUCGUAGGCGGCCAACUAAGUCAGACGUGAAAUCCCUCAGCUUAACUGGGGAACUGCGUCUGAUACUGGAUGGCUUGGAUUUGGGAGAGGGAUGCGGAAUUCCAGGUGUAGCGGUGAAAUGCGUAGAUAUCUGGAGGAACACCGGUGGCGAAGGCGGCAUCCUGGACCAACACUUGAC